rnacentral:lncRNA from 1 species
AGGACUCCCAGACCCCUCACCUUCUGCCUCCCCUGGUCGCGUCCGGGUCCUUGCGGAGCUAACUAGCUCGCCACGACGUCAAGAACGACGUAACGUCAGGCCGCUGUGGGCUCUGGGAAUUGUAGUCCAGAGCUAGAUCGGCCACGGACAGAAUGGCGUUCUCUUAUCUCUGAGUCGGGGCCUGGCUCGUUUUGACAUUUUUGCGCCCACGAGUCUUCGGAGAGGGCGUCGCCACUCCAGACCUUCCAGCAAGCUUGAAGUCAUCUGACGCUAAAGGACUACUUACCUCAAGAGCUCCAUCGUCACAGAAGGAGGCGGCCAAGUUCGCGGGGGGAGGGGAGGAGACAGAGAGUCGACCAGUAAAGCCUCAAGGGAAAUGUAGUCCAAGGCCUGAGAAGCGACGUUGCUGGUAAUAGAAGGAAGACAUAGGCCAAGGAGCCAGACUUCCUGUGUUAACUCCUUCCUCUGCCACUUUUUACCUUGGGGACCUCAGUUAAUAUGAUCCUCUGUUGAAGCAAGAAGACAAACUGUAUGGUGGAGAAAGAAGUGGGAAGGAUCUGCGCGGAAGAAGCCUGAGAAGAUGAUGCACAGAUAGAGAGGCACCAGGACUUGAGAGGCACCAGGACUUGGGAGGCAUGUUGAUCCAUCUCCAGGAAAGACUGAGAAAAAGAGCGUUGAAUAUAAGAAAAAAUACUUCCUCUGUUCUCAGAUCGUAUUUGUUUUAAGGCCACACCUUUUUGAAGUUUUCAGUUUGAAACACAACCUGGACUGAAAU